rnacentral:rRNA from 1 species
CCGAAUUAUACCCGGUUUAAACUGGGGGCUAAUGACGGAGAAUUUCGGUUCCCACCCACCUCCCACUUAAUAGCCACUGUCGAAGAUCUAACCGACAUGCUCGACUACGACUCCGGAGACAUCGACGGUAUGGAUGAUGAUGCCGAAGAGGAGCAAGCCCAAAAACCUCCAUUUACCGGGCGCUGGACGACCACCUCCUCCUACGACGUGUACAUGGUGGACACACCCAAAGAAAUCAACGGCAACGACAAAGAAGACCCAGUGGAAGACAAACCUCUUGAGAUACAGCCAAAGCACCGACGACAGCGACGCCACUCUAAAUCACGCCGUGAAAAAGACAGUAACACCGGCACAGGAGAAAACAAUACUCUAGACAAUGCCGGAGACAAUGAAGACCCCGUUCAGCCAACUUCCGAACAGAACGAACGGGAAGAUGGGCGAGUCAGCCCUGAUGAACAGGCCGUGCACGAAGACUCAGAGGACAGUAAUUAUCUUCCACUCUCCGAGGAUGAGGUGAGCCUCGGCGACGAAGACUUUAUCGUACCUGAGGAACCUCUCGAGCAGGAGCGCUUUAAGCAACAACUA